ACUCCUUAGCUCUGGGAUGGGGCCUCUAGAACCCCUUGAUCUCACCACACAAGUCACAGGAGAAACACCCGGGGUGAGAACUAGAAAAACGUGAAUCCUUGUACAAUGUUUUUCAAUUUUAAACUUAUUAAACUACCAAAAAAAGUACAAGUUUAAAAAAUAUUCGAAUCUCCUCCUCCCCUUGUACCAAGACCCCCUCUGAAGAGAUCAUCCCUGUGUGCCGGUUUUUGUGUUAUGGUCCUAGUUAUAUUCCCUGCAAAUACAGCAGACGCAGCAUCAUAUGACAAUGCUUUUCCCACUGAGCACAGCUUGGACAUCUCUCUGUCUCCCCUGCCUCAUUCUGCUUAGAGUUUUAUCACAUGGCUCCCACUAAAUUUAUUGAAGCAGUCCCCUGUUGGUAGACAUGUUGUUUCCAUUUUCAGCAUAACUAAUAAUGUAGCAAUGAACUUGUGCACGCAGCCUGGCUCACUCAGCAAGGAAAUCUGUAGUAAAUUCCUAGCGGUCAAAGUGCUGAGCCAAAGAGUAUGUGCAUUUUCUUUUAGGCUAUUGCUAAAUUGCCCUCCAAAAAGGUGUACACGAAGCUUCGCUGUCCCAACAGCAUGAGGAGGUUUGAUUUAUUUCAGGGCAUCUGCUGACUGCAGGAGUUUAGCUGGGAACAGACGUGCCCUCAGAACCACAACCAACAUAAACGCAUUUCCUUCCCAAUUUUAGCCUUUCCCAGGGCCAAAAGAUGGGCUGGGAUACCUUGUCACAGUGUCAACUUCGCCCCAAAGAGCUCUGAGAGGUAAAUGGCUGUGGUCUAAAUGUUGCCUUUCCGCUAUUUGUUUGGGAAUAAAGGCUGUUUUUGUUUUGCUCUACAAUCCGACAGCGUAAACAAGCUUUCAGGAGGUUUGUUCAUACUGCAAAUGAGAACAAACUGUUUUCAGUCACUUUAGAAGUACCCACUGGUACAGGAACAGUUGCUAUGCUAAUUACAAAGCAAGUUCCGCUCCACAUUACAGCAGGUUCCCUGCAGAUCUUAGCAAGGCUGCAUUUUGACGUGGAAUAUUGAAAGUAAAGACAUUCUAUAACCCAGACACCUCAGUAUUUCAAAACCCCCAUCAAAGGACCUUAUUGUGGGCAAUAUUUGAGAAGCCAGUUGCAAAGCACUCUCUUCUAGUGAUCAAAGCAGGUCUCCUCUGGACGGCUAGUAAGCAACAUUUUGUGAGCUUUGCCAGGUGCUCAUUGAUACCUGUUCCCUAUCUGCCUUUGGAGGGUGAGCUUGGCCAGAUAUCCCUGCCUAACUUCUAUCCCCAGGUAGAGAUUUCCCCUAUGUGGACCCUCUAUCAGAUCAGGACUUAAUUUCACUUUGAGAGCCUGAGGCUUCCUUACGAUCUGGGCUGAGUUGAGGCUGGGGCAGAGGGGCGCAGAGGUUUGGGGACAAGUCUGUGGAUCCAGCUGCUUUCUGAAGCCGUAGGCAUCUCUGCAGAGCUCAGCCUCGCCACAGUUCCCCACCCCUUCCCCCAAGCGUGGCCAGUGCCUGGGCUGGCACUCACAGGGGAAGGCAGGC
rnacentral:lncRNA from 1 species